rnacentral:rRNA from 1 species
GACGAACGCUGGCGGCGUGCUUAACACAUGCGAGUCGAACGGAAAGGCCCUGCUUUUGUGGGGUGCUCGAGUGGCGAACGGGUGAGUAACACGUGGGUAACCUGCCCUUGACUUUGGGAUAACUUCAGGAAACUGGGGCUAAUACCGGAUAGGAGCUCCUGCUGCAUGGUGGGGGUUGGAAAGUUUCGGCGGUUGGGGAUGGACUCGCGGAUUAUCAGCUUGUUGGUGGGGUAGUGGCUUACCAAGGCUUUGACGGGUAGCCGGCCUGGGAGGUUGACCGGCCACAUUGGGACUGAGAGACGGCCCAGACGCCUACGGUAGGCAGCAGUGGGGAAUAUUGCAGAAUGGCCGGAAGCCUGAUGCAGCAACGCCGCGUGCGUGAUGACGUCCUUCGGGUUGUAAACCGCUUUCGCCUGUGACGAAGCGUGAGUGACGGUAAUGGGUAAAGAAGCACCGGCUAACUACGUG